rnacentral:SRP_RNA from 1 species
GCCAGGCGUGGUGGUGCACGCCUGUAGUCCCAGCUAUUCUGGAGGCUGAGGCAGGAGAAUUGCUUGAACCUGGGAGGUGGAGGCUGCAGUGAGCUGAGAUGGUGCCACUGCACUCCCACCUGGGCAACAGAGCAAGACUCUGUCUCAA